ensembl:lncRNA
GAAAUGGUCGAUAAGUAUGGACACAAGCUAGGUGUAGGUCUUUUCGAAUGAUCUGUGUCUACUCAACAGGAUGCUUCUAACAGUGGUGUUUCCCAUGGAUGUGCUACUUGUGAGGAACCUUCACGGCAAGUCAAGGGAUUCUGGGGAUCAGUGUUGAGCGCUGGAGAAGAGCAAAGUGGAUGCAGUCUACAGAGCAACGCUGACUCAGUGGCUUCACAUGGUGCCUUCAACCACUGCUUCUACAAUCAGUGCCAAGUUGACAGACAAGCAAGAGGAAAGAAUAAAACACAGAAGCCUGAAGAAACACUAAUACUGUUCUAUGACUGAAGGUUCAUCUCCAUCUGUUACUAAGCUGGUCAGUGUAAUUAUAGUUUAUUAAAUAAACUACUGCUGGGGAGGGAGGGGAGAAGAUGAACAGAGCGUAGUUACAAAUAGAAGCACAGUUCUUUUGAAAU